GACGAACGCUGGCGGCGUGCUUAACACAUGCAAGUCGAACGGUGAAGGGAAGCUUGCUUCCCGGAUCAGUGGCGAACGGUGGGUAACACGUGGGCAAUCUGCCCCAGACUUUGGGAUAACUGCUCGAAAGAGUAGCUAAUACCGAAUAUUCAGCCUUGCAGGCAUCUGCGAGGCUGGAAAGUUUCUCGGUCUGGGAUGAGCCCGCGGCCUAUCAGCUAGUUGGUGAGGUAAUGGCUCACCAAGGCGACGACGGGUAGCCGGCCUGAGAGGGCGACCGGCCACACUGGGACUGAGACACGGCCCAGACUCCUACGGGAGGCAGCAGUGGGGAAUAUUGCGCAAUGGGCGAAAGCCUGACGCAGCAACGCCGCGUGCGGGAUGAAGGCCUUCGGUUGUAAACCGCUUUCAGCAGGGAAGAAGCGAAAGUGACGGUACCUGCAGAAGAAGCACCGGCUAACUACGUGCCAGCAGCCGCGGUAAU
rnacentral:rRNA from 1 species